CAAUAGCGUAUAUUAAAGUUGUUGCGGUUAAAAGCUCGUAGUUGGAUUUCUGUCGAAGACGGCCGGUCCGCUCUAUGAGCGUGUAUCUGGUUCGGCUUUGGCAUCCUCGUGGGGAACGUAACUGUGCUUGAUUGCAUGGUGCGGAAUUCACGACUUUUACUUUGAGGAAAUUAGAGUGUUCACGGCAGGCAAGCGCCUUGAAUACAUUAGCAUGGAAUAAUAACAUAGGACCUUGAGUCGUUGUUGUUGGUUGACGACACAAGGUAAUAAAAAUAGGGAUAGUUGGGGGCAUUCGUAUUACAAUGUCAGAGGUGAAAUUCUUGGAUUAUUGUACGACGGACUACUGCGAAAGCAUUUGCCAAGGAUGUUUUUUUAAUCAAGAACGAAAGUUAGGGGAUCGAAGACGAUUAGAUACCG
rnacentral:rRNA from 1 species